AAAGUGCAGAAAAGGGGCGAAAAUCAGAAACAGGAAAUCGAGCAGGUCAAAGAUAAUUUUAAACCAUCGUAUUGAAGUGCGGCUUACAGCAUUUUUUAGAAUUCUACAACUGUGAUUAAAUUAAAAAAAAGACGUUAAUAAAGGAAUGUGGAUUACCUUUUCCCAAGUCUCCUGUUAUUUCCUCUGGUGAUGAAAAUACGAAAACAAAUAACCCUGCUAUCUACCGUGUGUGUCCUUAGUGACGUUGUACGAUUAUUUUCUACUCUGAGGGUCUAAGGAUCCAGCUGUACAAGGGAGCAGGCUACCUGGACUUUGGACUGCGCCCUUUUUUUCCCUUUUGGACUCCCACCGGACUUGUUCGCCUGCGCUCCCCCUUGCACCCGGAUCACUGUUGGCAACGCCCCCUGUCUGUCCUCCCAUCCACUCCCCUCCGUGUUUUUCCUGUAGCCCUUCUCCAGUCUCUUCCAGAUUAAACCGUCUGCAUAGGGUCCUAAAUACGCACUACACGGGAGUCAGGACCGGCUCCCGUAACAGCACCAAAACUGAACAAGGUAUUAAAAACACUAUCUGCAGUAAAUGUGUUCAGAAGUUCAGUUUGAGCUCUAGGGCCAGAGCUUUCCGAGCUGGAGCAGGGGUCCAGUCUACGUUCGGCCAACGAAUGGGACCCACCAAAGGAUAAUGCAAUGCCAAAGACCGGCAUGCUUUAAUGGGCUGCAUUUCUCCAUGGUUGAGCACGAGAAAGAGGACCUGGGGGUGAUAUUGUUUCAUGAUUCUCAGAGAGUGAUGAACCAAUUCUUUAGUCAGCACCUAACUCUCCUAAAUGGCAGUCAAGAGCUCGUUGAUUUUUAACCGAUGGAGGAUCAGGCAGUCACUUUGAACGUACCAUGCUACCAGUUCAUAUCACAAAUGACUAAACACGCUCUUAUUACACAAUCUGGAUUCUUAACUCUCAUUUUAAAACCACCUUUUUGGGCAAAAGCAAGUAUUUUGGGAAUUUUUUUGCUCUGAAUGUUUCCAGAAACGAGAUUUGCAACCCACAUAAGAAUGCACGGCACAGCUGAGGAUGAGAAUUGUGGCAUAUUUCAUUUCCUUUUUAUCCACGGGGGGGGGGGGGUUCUACGCCACUCCCCUUGAAACCUAAGGGAUGCAAUCACUGGUGUGGUUUAUUUUAAUUUGUUUCGAACAUGAAUACAAUUUAAAAUGAGUCUUAUAGACCUCUCCACUUAGCUUGUACCACAACAUCACAGUACAAGACAAGUUAAAUAAAAAUGCUACAGAUAUUUCUGAGAGCAA